rnacentral:ncRNA from 2 species
AGGACAAAAGGACACUAUGAUUCUUGCUCAUUUAAUUGGGUGCCUGUGAGCAGGAAGAGUGAAUGGCACAACCGACCUUUUUACAG